AAAAGAUUUCAACAUGAAAUGUUUCCUUACUUCCUCCUCUUGGAAAAAGGACGUAAGGAAGGAAACCUGGUGUUGAUUCAACACCUACUUUGUGCCAGAUGUUAUUCUUGAGAAUUGUCUUUCCUGUUUCAAGAAAAUAUGCUUUUUUAUUCUAGAUCUGUGCCUCUAAACUGGAGUAGUACCAUCUGUGCAGGGAAGGCUUGUGAAUGUGUGCAUGUGUGUGGCGGGGCGUGUUCUUGGUAUUCCUAAUGUUGGGGGGAAGGAUGCUCCAGGCACUUAGUGAGCAGGAGCCAGGGAUGCUGGUUUCACUGCGUUUUGCCAGACUGUCCAGCUCCACACGUCAAAAGUACCAACCCCCUCCCCGGUGAGAAAUACUGAUCUCUACCAUUGGUGAGUUUUUUUUUUUAAUGUAAACAUGAAAUGGAAGAACAUCUUUACUAUUUCACUUAUUAGAUUGAGAUGACAAAUACCACACAUUUGUAAUCUUAGUGGUGGUACUUCAACAUGAGUAUAUAAAGAAGAGAAAAGAUUUAUGGUAUUUUCUUCCCCCAGGAAUCAAACUCAGGUAUCUGUUAUUAUCAUGACUACUGCUACUACGAUAUCGUCAGUGUUUGGACUAGUUUUCAGGAAAUGGAACGUUCCCCAGUUGAAGAAAUUAUACCUGUUCUGAAAGACUAUGAUUUCACAAUUCAGCCAUCCCUUCCGAAAGAUCACCCCAGAAUAUGUAGAAACUAGUGAACUGGAUUCCCCGCUGCUGUCUGACAGAGGCCUGGAGAGCUGCGCACGCUCAAGCCCGCAAGGUGCCAUUUGCCUUGUUAGUAUUUCUCUCACUGCUACCGGACUCACUCUUAGGCAGAAAAAAGUGUGACCCAAAGCCAGACACAGCAGUGGCUGACAGCCUGCACCUGGCCUCCGAUGGAAGGAAAGUCUCACAGCAGGUCAGUCACGCAGAAAGCACGCGUAGGGGGCAAGGGCUGGGAUCGUGCGGGACCCACGUCCUAGUUCUGCAUGUCUGGGUGUGAAUAUGCCCUCCCAGGAGCCGCAGGGAAAAAUGAUAGUAGCAAUGAGAUGAUAGUAAUAAUAAUUCUUUUGAGCAUU